rnacentral:tRNA from 1 species
GCCGGACUGGCCGACGUCGCGGGGGCCGCGGUCACGGCGGGCCUGCCGGCCGUGCGGAUCGGCACGGACGGCGGGUUCAGCGCCCAUGUCCGGCC